UGGUCACUUUGUGUCACUGAGGUCAAUCUGAACGAAGGAUUUUAAAUGCCGAAUUUGACAAUAUAAGACAUUUGAACUUAGUGAUGGAGGCAGCAGUGGAUCAACAACUGUGUGCUUUGAUGUUAAAAUCACUGAUUUUCUCUGCGGGGUUUGGUGUGGGAGAGUGAGUGGUUUACACACUUCAGUUUCCUCAACAGCAGGGCUCAACAUUCUUUGAUAAACGCUUGAAAUUAAACAUUAAAUGUCUUCUUAGUGUCAAAUAAAUUUGAUCAAACUCAAGUUUAUAUUAUAUUUUCAGUGCGAAUCAUUUUCCUGUGUGUGUGUGUGUGUCUUUUGUUUCCAUUUUGCUGUGACAGCGUGUGGUCAUGUGACUAGCAGCAGUGUUGCCUCAGUGAUCUGCUGUGUGUGUGUCAUUGGACACCUGUAGCCUGAACUCUUCCUCCCAACCAACACGUCACUGCAUUAAUCUGCAGUCAUGGAGCUUUCACCAUCAUCCCACCGAACCAGAACAAGAGGAAAGAAAUACAGAGAAAGGCGGAGACGGAGCUUGCUGCUCUGGAGGAGCUGAGACUGCCAUGAGUUAUGUUUCUGUGACGCCCAGCUGUGUUGGUGGCUGCAUGACUCUGGAGGAAGUGCGUCUGGAGCAGCAGCAGGAAAUGAUGCGAGCAAAGAGGAAACACAAACCGGUCUGAUGGCAUUUGCGUGAUAUUAUACACGUCUCCAAAAGACUGUCAUUG